rnacentral:rRNA from 1 species
UACGUAGGGUCCAAGCGUUAAUCGGAAUUACUGGGCGUAAAGCGCACGUAGGCGGCUUUGUAAGUUAGAGGUGAAAGCCCGGAGCUCAACUCCGGAAUUGCCUUUAAGACUGCAUCGCUAGAAUUGUGGAGAGGUAAGUGGAAUUCCGAGUGUAGAGGUGAAAUUCGUAGAUAUUCGGAAGAACACCAGUGGCGAAGGCGACUUACUGGACACAUAUUGACGCUGAGGUGCGAAAGCGUGGGGAGCAAACAGG